rnacentral:rRNA from 1 species
UACAGAGGGUGCGAGCGUUAAUCGGAAUUACUGGGCGUAAAGCGCGCGUAGGCGGUCUUGUAAGUCGGGUGUGAAAGCCCCGGGCUCAACCUGGGAACUGCAUUCGAGACUGCAAGACUGGAGUAUUGGAGAGGGCAGCGGAAUUUCCGGUGUAGCGGUGAAAUGCGUAGAUAUCGGAAGGAACAUCAGUGGCGAAAGCGGCUGCCUGGCCAAAUACUGACGCUCAUGUGCGAAAGCGUGGGGAGCAAACAGGAUUAGAUACCCUGGUAGUCCACGCCAUAAACGAUGACAACUAGACGUCGGAAGGAAUUGCCUUUCGGUGUCGCAGCUAACGCGUUAAGUUGUCCGCCUGGGGAGUACGGCCGCAAGGUUGAA